UUUAGCUGGACUCAGUUGACCUUGACUGGGAGUGAACUCAGCCAAGCUCUGCUACUUCCAAUGUGUCACAGCCGAAUUAUGGAGAGGGAAGAAGCUUGUGCCACUAUAGCCUGCUAAUACUGGGCAGAGGAGUCUGCUACAUCUGAGGGCCUGUCUACUUGUCCAGCAAGACUACAGAAGGACCUGAUGAUCUUGUACAGAUAUCACAUAAAUUCCUCUGUGCUUGAAUGUUGCCUCCUCCUUCCUAAUCUGCUCUACUUCUUCCUUCUCAUAGAAAACCUGCUAUAAAUAAACUACCUGAUAUUUCACAUCCCCUA